rfam:Desulfosporosinus sp. OL contig00019, whole genome shotgun sequence.
UCUUAACUAAUAGAGCAGGCGAUACACUUCUAUAAAGUGUGUGGGGCUGGGCUGGCGUAAGAGCCGGCAGCAGGAUAAAAUACCUGUGGGACUAUA